AGACGGAGGGGGCUAGCGUUGUUCGGAAUUACUGGGCGUAAAGCGCUCGUAGGCGGCUUGUUAAGUCGGAUGUGAAAUCCCCGGGCUCAACCUGGGAACUGCAUUCGAUACUGGCAGGCUAGAGUAUAGUAGAGGCAAGUGGAAUUCCGGGUGUAGCGGUGAAAUGCGUAGAUAUCCGGAGGAACAUCAGUGGCGAAGGCGACUUGCUGGACUAAUUCUGACGCUGAGGAGCGAAAGCGUGGGGAGCAAACGGGAUUAGAAACCCCGGUAGUCC
rnacentral:rRNA from 1 species